AGCAGCCGCGGUAAUUCCAGCUCCAAUAGCGUAUAUUAAAGUUGUUGCAGUUAAAAAGCUCGUAGUUGAAUUUCGGGAUCAGUACGCUGGUCGUGCCUUCGGUAUGAACUGGUGUCACUGGUUCCUCCCUUCUGAAGAACCGUCAUGCCAUUCAGUUGGUGUGGCGGGGAAUCAGGACUGUUACUUUGAAAAAAUUAGAGUGUUUAAAGCAGGCUCGCGCUUGAAUACAUUAGCAUGGAAUAAUGAAAUAGGACGUUUGACCCUAUUUUGUUGGUUUCUAGGAUCGACGUAAUGAUUAAUAGGGAUAGUUGGGGGCAUUAGUAUUCAAUUGUCAGAGGUGAAAUUCUUGGAUUUAUUGAAGACUAACUACUGCGAAAGCAUUUGCCAAGGAUGUUUUCAUUAAUCAAGAACGAAAGUUAGGGGAUCGAAGACGAUCAGAUACCGUCGUAGUCUUAACCAUAAACUAUGCCGACUAGGGAUCGGAUGAUGUUAAUUUUUAAUGACUCAUUCGGCGCCUUAC
rnacentral:rRNA from 1 species